UGACAGCUUGGUCUUCUGUUAGUAAGGCUCAGAAGUAUACCUUACAAACAUUGGUAUUCUUUAUCAUCAGGAGCAAGAUCUAUAAAAAUUGUCCCUUGGCUGACACAGUGAAAAGUCAGAUAAGGAUUGGUGCCUGAAAAGGAAAAUAUAUUAAACUUUUAUGCACAUAGGUUCACCAAGAAGUACCAACUAUAAAACUAGGACUGAGGGAGUACUGUCCGCUGCCAUCAUUUAAAAAACCACUGGAUUUUAAAAGGUAAAUUAAAGUUGUUUUCUAAGGUUUGCAAUUUCUUUGCCCAUAGAGAUUAGACAACAGCUAAGAUUCUGGAGGACUCAGAAAAUGUACUCUCUCAUUAUAAUUGAUUAUAAGUCUCAAAAGAAAAAAAAAGGAAAAAAGAACAAGGUGGCAAUUCCUUAAACUUGAAAAACCAAAACAACGUCCCUGAAUCUGGAGAACGACAAGAGCUACAAUACAUACAUUACAUGGGAGAGGCUGACCA